rnacentral:sRNA from 1 species
CAGAAUCUAGGGUCACCUUCUCAUGCUGCAUAUGGGAAACUGAGGAUCACAGCGGUUGAGGGACUAGCCUGGACCUUGUGUAAAUGGCAGAGUCGGGGCUGUGGCUCUUGCCAGGCGAGGUCCUCUGCUGGGCUGACCCAGCUCCUUCCCAUGCAGCGUUUCAGUGUGCAGGAUGUCAUCUACGUGCGGGGCUGCACCAACGCCGUGAUCAUCUGGUUCAUGGACAACUACACCAUCAUGGCGGGCAUCCUCCUGGGCAUCCUGCUCCCCCAGUUCCUGGGGGUGCUGCUGACACUGCUGUACAUCACCCGGGUGGAGGACAUCAUCAUGGAGCACUCUGUCACUGAUGGGCUCCUGGGGCCCGGUGCCAAGCCCAGCGUGGAGGCGGCGGGCACAGGAUGCUGCUUGUGCUACCCCAAUUAGGGCCCAGCCUGCGAUGGCAGCUCCAGCAAGGACCGUCUGGGAUAGCACCUCUCAGUCAACAUCAUGGGGCUGGACAGGGCUGUGGCCCCUCUGCCCACACUCAGUAUUGACCAAAGCCAGGGCUGUGUGUGCCUGUGUGUGGGUCCCACGGCUGCUGCCUCCCAGGGGCCGGAGCCUGGGCCUCCCCUAAGAGGCUUCCCCGAGGCAGCUCUGGAAUCUGUGCCCACCUGGGGCCUGGGGAACAAGGCC